CCUACGGGGCGCUGCAGUGAGGAAUAUUGGUCAAUGGGCGUAAGCCUGAACCAGCCAAGUCGCGUGAGGGAUUAAGGUUCUAUGGAUCGUAAACCUCUUUUAUAUGGGAAUAAAGUGCGGGACGUGUCCCGUUUUGUAUGUACAUUAUGAAUAAGGAUCGGCUAACUCCGUGCCAGCAGCCGCGGUAAUCCGUAGGAUGCGAGCGUUAUCAUGAUUUAUUGGGUUUAAAGGGAGCGUAGGUGGAUUGUUAAGUAAGUUGUGAAAGUUUGCGGUUCAACCGUAAAAUUGCAGUUGAAACGGGCAGUCUUGAGUACAGUAGAGGUGGGCGGAAUUCGUGGUGUAGCGGUGAAAUGCUUAGAUAUCACGAAGAACUCCGAUUGCGAAGGCAGCUCACUGGACUGCAACUGACACUGAGGCUCGAAAGUGUGGGUAUCAAACAGGAUUAGAUACCCUUGUAGUC
rnacentral:rRNA from 1 species